rnacentral:rRNA from 1 species
GGAUCAUUGUCGAAAUCGAACGGAAGAACGACCCGCGAAUCGUCAUUGCGUAGUAGACAGAGCCCGUGAGCACCUAACGCUCACGGGUCUCGCGUCGCGUCGGCGCGGGUGUACUCGAGACCCGCGUCGUACCGGCGGACAAACAACGUCAGCACGGAUCGUGCCAAGGAGCUGCAUGGAGAGAAUCGUCGUCCCACGCCUUUGAUAGUCCUCGACGCGGGACGGGGGAUGUACGCAAUCUCUACUCAAGUCUAAACGACUCUCGGCAACGGAUAUCUCGGCUCUUGCAUCGAUGAAGAACGUAGCGAAAUGCGAUACUUGGUGUGAAUUGCAGAAUCCCGUGAACCAUCAAUUCUUUGAACGCAAGUUGCGCCCGAAGCCAUUCGGCCGAGGGCACGCCUGCCUGGGCGUCGUGAAUCCCCUUGCCCCUAGGCACCCGCACGAGCAUCGGCGGGGAUAUACGCUCGGGCGCAGAAUAUGGUCUCCCGUGGGAUCGGCAUGCACGGCAUGUCGAGGUGCGGUUGGCCGAAAAUCGAGCAUGGCGGUGACGGGCACCACGGCGUUCGGUGGAUCGAACGAGAUUGGCUGCGUCGUGGGCUCGGCAUGCGGCGGGCUCCGGACUUUGAAUAUCCCCGAGUGCGAUCCCAGGUCAGGCGGGGCUACCCGCUGAGUUUAAGCAUAUCAAUAAGCGGAGGAAAAGAAACUAACGAGGAUUCCCUUAGUAGCGGC